UGGGGAAUUUUCCGCAAUGGGCGCAAGCCUGACGGAGCAAUACCGCGUGAGGGAGGAAGGCUUUUGGGUUGUAAACCUCUUUUCUCAAGGAAGAAGCACUGACGGUACUUGAGGAAUCAGCAUCGGCUAACUCCGUGCCAGCAGCCGCGGUAAUACGGAGGGGGCAAGCGUUGUUCGGAUUUACUGGGCGUAAAGGGCGCGUAGGCGGGCGAUCAAGUCAGAGGUGAAAGGCCUGGGCUCAACCUGGGACGUGCCUUUGAAACUGAUUGUCUUGAGUGCGGGAGAGGGUGACGGAAUUCCCAGUGUAGAGGUGAAAUUCGUAGAUAUUGGGAAGAACACCGGUGGCGAAGGCGGUCACCUGGCCCGCAACUGACGCUGAGGCGCGAAAGCGUGGGGAGCAAACAGGAUUAGAUACCCCCGUAGUCC
rnacentral:rRNA from 1 species